rnacentral:rRNA from 1 species
UUUAAUUCGAAGCAACGCGAAGAACCUUACCAGGUCUUGACAUCCUCUGACAAUCCUAGAGAUAGGACGUCCCCUUCGGGGGCAGAGUGACAGGUGGUGCAUGGUUGUCGUCAGCUCGUGUCGUGAGAUGUUGGGUUAAGUCCCGCAACGAGCGCAACCCUUGAUCUUAGUUGCCAGCAUUCAGUUGGGCACUCUAAGGUGACUGCCGGUGACAAACCGGAGGAAGGUGGGGAUGACGUCAAAUCAUCAUGCCCCUUAUGACCUGGGCUACACACGUGCUACAAUGGACAGAACAAAGGGCAGCGAAACCGCGAGGUUAAGCCAAUCCCACAAAUCUGUUCUCAGUUCGGAUCGCAGUCUGCAACUCGACUGCGUGAAGCUGGAAUCGCUAGUAAUCGCGGAUCAGCAUGCCG